GUGGAUGUAGCUCAGUAGGUUAGAGCACCUGAUUGUGGUUCAGGGGGUCGAGGGUUCAAAUCCCUUCAUCCACCCCA
rnacentral:tRNA from 1 species